GAUGAACGCUGGCGGCGUGCCUAAUACAUGCAAGUCGAGCGAACGGACGCGAAGCUUGCUUCUCUGAUGUUAGCGGCGGACGGGUGAGUAACACGUGGAUAACCUACCUAUAAGACUGGGAUAACUUCGGGAAACCGGAGCUAAUACCGGAUAAUAUUUUGAACCGCAUGGUUCAAAAGUGAAAGACGGUCUUGCUGUCACUUAUAGAUGGAUCCGCGCUGCAUUAGCUAGUUGGUAAGGUAACGGCUUACCAAGGCAACGAUGCAUAGCCGACCUGAGAGGGUGAUCGGCCACACUGGAACUGAGACACGGUCCUGACUCCUACGGGGGGCAGCAGUAGGGAAUCUUCCGCAAUGGGCGAAAGCCUGACGGAGCAACGCCGCGUGAGUGAUGAAGGUCUUCGGAUCGUAAAACUCUGUUAUUAGGGAAGAACAUAUGUGUAAGUAACUGUGCACAUCUUGACGGUACCUAAUCAGAAAGCCACGGCUAACUACGUG
rnacentral:rRNA from 1 species